GGUUUUCGGAUCGUAAAGCUCUGUUGCCAGGGAAGAACGCUUGGGAGAGUAACUGCUCCCAAGGUGACGGUACCUGAGAAGAAAGCCCCGGCUAACUACGUGCCAGCAGCCGCGGUAAUACGUAGGGGG
rnacentral:rRNA from 1 species